CCCCUUGUGGUCUAGGGGUAAGGACUAGGCAUUUUCACUGCUUCGGCCCAGGUUCGAUCUCUGGUCUGGGAA
rnacentral:tRNA from 1 species